GGUUCAGUGGUGUAGUUGGUUAUCACGUCUGUCUCACACACAGGAGGCCUCCAGUUCGAACCUGGACUGAACCA
rnacentral:tRNA from 1 species